rnacentral:rRNA from 2 species
GGUUAAGCGACUAAGCGUACACGGUGGAUGCCCUGGCAGUCAGAGGCGAUGAAGGACGUGCUAAUCUGCGAAAAGCGCCGGCGAGGUGAUAUGAACCCUUGACCCGGCGAUGUCCGAAUGGGGAAACCCAGUGCAAUCCGUUGCACUAUCGUUAACUGAAUACAUAGGUUAACGAGGCGAACCGGGGGAACUGAAACAUCUAAGUACCCCGAGGA